GAUGAACGCUAGCGGCAGGCCUAAUACAUGCAAGUCGAACGAUAUCUUCCAGCUUGCUGGAAGAGAAAGUGGCGCACGGGUGCGUAACGCGUAUGCAACCUACCUUUAUCAGGGGGAUAGCCCGGAGAAAUCCGGAUUAAUACCGCAUAACAUCAUUGGAUAGCAUUAUUUUAUGAUCAAACAUUUAUGGGAUAAAGAUGGGCAUGCGUGUCAUUAGCUAGUUGGCGGGGUAACGGCCCACCAAGGCGACGAUGACUAGGGGAUCUGAGAGGAUGGCCCCCCACACUGGUACUGGGACACGGACCAGACUCCUACGGGAGGCAGCAGUAAGGAAUAUUGGUCAAUGGAGGGAACUCUGAACCAGCCAUGCCGCGUGCAGGAAGACUGCCCUAUGGGCUGUAAACUGCUUUUAUCCGGGAAUAAACCUGAGUACGUGUACUUAGCUGAAUGUACCGGAAGAAUAGGGAUCGGCUAACUCCGUGCCAGCAGCCGCGGUAACAC
rnacentral:rRNA from 1 species